rnacentral:rRNA from 1 species
GACGAACGCUGGCGGCGUGCUUAACACAUGCAAGUCGAACGGAAAGGCCCUGCUUUUGUGGGGUGCUCGAGUGGCGAGCGGGUGAGUAACACGCGAGUAACCUGCCCUUGACUUUGGGAUAACUUCAGGAAACUGGGGCUAAUACCGGAUAGGAGCUCCUGCUGCAUGGUGGGGGUUGGAAAGUUUCGGCGGUUGGGGAUGGACUCGCGGCUUAUCAGCUUGUUGGUGGGGUAGUGGCUUACCAAGGCUUUGACGGGUAGCCGGCCUGAGAGGGUGACCGGCCACAUUGGGACUGAGAUACGGCCCAGACUCCUACGGGAGGCAGCAGUGGGGAAUAUUGCACAAUGGGCGGAAGCCUGAUGCAGCAACGCCGCGUGCGGGAUGACGGCCUUCGGGUUGUAAACCGCUUUCGCCUGUGACGAAGCGUGAGUGACGGUAAUGGGUAAAGAAGCACCGGCUAACUACGUG